AUUGAACGCUGGCGGCAGGCCUAACACAUGCAAGUCGAGCGGAUGAAGGGAGCUUGCUCCUGGAUUCAGCGGCGGACGGGUGAGUAAUGCCAGGAAAUUGGCCGGGUAGGGGGGGAAAAGGUCCGAAAACGGGGGCAAUAACAAAAAAGUUCCGAGGGAGGAAGGGGGGGAACCUUGGAACCUACCGCAAUCGGAGAAGCUAGGUCGGAUUAGCUAGUUGGUGGGGUAAAGGCCUACCAAGGCGACGAUCCGUAACUGGUCUGAGAGGAUGAUCAGUCACACUGGAACUGAGACACGGUCCAGACUCCUACGGGAGGCAGCAGUGGGGAAUAUUGGACAAUGGGCGAAAGCCUGAUCCAGCCAUGCCGCGUGUGUGAAGAAGGUCUUCGGAUUGUAAAGCACUUUAAGUUGGGAGGAAGGGCAGUAAGUUAAUACCUUGCUGUUUUGACGUUACCAACAGAAUAAGCACCGGCUAACUUCGUG
rnacentral:rRNA from 1 species